rnacentral:rRNA from 1 species
UGGGGAAUAUUGCACAAUGGGCGAAAGCCUGAUGCAGCAACGCCGCGUGAGCGAAGAAGGUCUUCGGAUUGUAAAGCUCUGUCCCUGGGGAAGAUAAUGACGGUACCCAAGGAGGAAGCCCCGGCUAACUACGUGCCAGCAGCCGCGGUAAUACGUAGGGGGCGAGCGUUAUCCGGAAUUAUUGGGCGUAAAGAGUGCGUAGGUGGUUACCUAAGCAGGGGUGAAAGGCACUGGCUUAACCAAUGUCAGCCCUCUGAACUGGGCUACUUGAGUGCAGGAGAGGAAAGCGGAAUUCCUAGUGUAGCGGUGAAAU